rnacentral:rRNA from 1 species
AAUGAACGCUGGCGGCGCGCCUAAUACAUGCAAGUCGAGCGAGAAGACGUAGCAAUACGUUUGUAAAGCGGCGAACGGGUGAGGAAUACAUGGGUAACCUACCCUAGAGUGGGGAAUAACUAGCCGAAAGGUUAGCUAAUACCGCGUACGCUCCUUGGACUUCGGUUCAGGGAGGAAAGCGAUGCCGAGGGUAUCGCGCUCUUGGAUGGGCUCAUGUCCUAUCAGCUGUUGGUGAGGUAACGGCUCACCAAGGCUUCGACGGGUAGCUGGUCUGAGAGGACGAUCAGCCACACUGGCACUGCGACACGGGCCAGACUCCUACGGGAGGCAGCAGUAAGGAAUAUUGCGCAAUGGGCGAAAGCCUGACGCAGCGACGCCGCGU